UCUCACGAAGAUAAAUUUAUCGUUCUCAACUCAAAUAAACCCUUUGCAUUAAAUGUUUACUACCUUUCAGCAUUAAGUUGAAACCUCCAAAAAGAAAAUCUGCAUAUAAACCCCCCCACAAAACAAUACACAGAGAGAGUACCACCACUUAACCACAAUAGCAACUGCGUGACGCGUUGCACGUGAUAAAGGGUAUUGGCUUAGCUGUGUGGCAUGAUCAAUACAUUACUAUGAGUAUUUAUUUUGAGUUGAAAUAGAGGCUCCAUUGAAACAAAGCCAUGUGCAUGGAGACCACUAAAAAUGUCCCCCACAAUUCCCAUUGUGUCUUUAAAUUAUUAUUAUAUGGUGAGCAUAGUUCGCUACGUACACAUGAUCGAUCAAGCGACAUCAGCAAUUGGAUCGGAGCUCCUUAUUAUUAUUAUCUUUGGCUGAAUCCUCUUGUCAGCAUGUCUCCAACAAUUUUCAGACUUCCAAUUGUACCAAUACCAAUAGGAAAGGUUCACAUCAGAUAUUUUGAGGUUGGCAAGUGAAAAUGGAUUCACGGCAGUAAGAAAUUACAUGGAUUCACGCGUUCGUAACAGUUGAAUGAAGAUGGGAUGACUAGGAUCUUAAAUAUGUAUUUUAAAUUUUAUUUACUGUGAUAAAAUAUGAAACUGUACCUUUGAUCAACGGUUCUGAAUUAAUAAUUGUGUGAAUGCGUCGUGUAAAUGUUGAUUGCAACUUGCAAGCAAUAUAGAUUUAUGAAUUUUGAUUCUUGCUUUUA